AGUGAACGCUGGCGGUAGGCCUAACACAUGCAAGUCGAACGGCAGCACAGUAAGAGCUUGCUAUUACGGGAGGCGAGUGGCGGACGGGUGAGGAAUACAUCGGAAUCUACUUUUUCUAGGGGGAUAACGUAGGGAAACUUACGCUAAUACUGCAUACGACCUACGGGUGAAAGUAGGGGAUAUUCGGACCUUGCGCGAUUGAAUGAGCCGAUGUCGGAUUAGCUAGUUGGCGGGGUAAAGGCCCACGAAGGCGACGAUCCGUAGCUGGUCUGCGAGGAUGAUCAGACACACUGGAACUGAGACACGGUCCAGACUCCUACGGGAGGCAGCAGUGGGGAAUAUUGGACAAUGGGCGCAAGCCUGAUCCAGCCAUACCGCGUGGGUGAAGAAGGCCUUCGGGUUGUAAAGCCCUUUUGUUGGGAAAGAAAAGCAGCAGGUUAAUACCCCGCUGUUCUGACGGUACCCAAAGAAUAAGCACCGGCUAACUUCGUG
rnacentral:rRNA from 1 species